rnacentral:rRNA from 1 species
CAGUCGCCGCGGUAAAACAUAGGUGGCAAGCGUUGUCCGGAAUUAUUGGGCGUAAAGCGCGCGCAGGCGGAUAGGUCAGUCUGUCUUAAAAGUUCGGGGCUUAACCCCGUGAUGGGAUGGAAACUGCCAAUCUAGAGUAUCGGAGAGGAAAGUGGAAUUCCUAGUGUAGCGGUGAAAUGCGUAGAUAUUAGGAAGAACACCAGUGGCGAAGGCGACUUUCUGGACGAAAACUGACGCUGAGGCGCGAAAGCCAGGGGAGCGAACGGGAUUAGAUACCCGGGUAGUCCCUGUCUCUUAUACA